rnacentral:misc_RNA from 1 species
AACGCACAUUGCGCCUCUCUUAACGGGGAGGCAUGCCUGUCUGAGCGUCGUUUAAAUCAAUAAUCCCAAAUGGGUUUGUGUUGGGCUUCUCCCUUUGGUGAGUUGCCUGAAAUUCAUGGGUCUUAAAUGAGCGGACGAGUUCCUGUUGGACAGACCGUUCUUGUGACCAUUUAAACAUUGAAUCUGACCUCAGAUCAGGUAGGGACACCGCCUGAACUUAA